GCGGCCUAUCAGCUUGUUGGUGAGGUAAUGGCUCACCAAGGCAACGACGGGUAGCCGGCCUGAGAGGGCGACCGGCCACACUGGGACUGAGACACGGCCCAGACUCCUACGGGAGGCAGCAGUGGGGAAUAUUGGGCAAUGGACGCAAGUCUGACCCAGCGACGCCGCGUGCGGGAUGAAGGCCUUCGGGUUGUAAACCGCUUUCAGCAGGGAAGAAGCGAAAGUGACGGUACCUGCAAAAGAAGCACCGGCUAACUAUGUGCCAGCAGCCGCGGUAAUACAUAGGGUGCAAGCGUUGUCCGGAAUUAUUGGGCGUAAAGAGUUCGUAGGUGGUUCGUUACGUCGGAUGUGAAAAUCUGGGGCUCAACCCCAGACCUGCAUUCGAUACGGGCGAGCUAGAGUUUGGUAGGGGAGACUGGAAUUCCU
rnacentral:rRNA from 1 species